UCCAAAGUUAUAGUAAUGUUUUAGUGACCUCAAUGUAUAGGCAUGAGAUUAUUAGAGCUUUGAAAACUGGGAAGAAAAGGAUUUCUAUAAUCUUUUUAGAUAAAAGUUAAACGGGAGCAAGAAGGAGACGGAUGUUGAGAGAACGAGGAGGAAGGAGAGAAAAUGGCGUCAACGGAUUACAGUACCUAUAGUCAAGCUGCAGUGCAGCAGCGCUACAGUGCUUACACUGCCCAGCCCACUCAAGGAUAUGCACAGACCACCCAGGCAUAUCGGCAACAAAGCUAUGGAACCUAUGGACAGCCCACUGAUGUCAGCUAUACCCAGGCUCAGACCACUGCAACCUAUGGGCUAUGCAACUUCUUAUGGACAGCCUCCCACUGGUUACACUACUCCAACUGGCCCCCACGCAUACAGUCAGCCUGUCCAGGGGUGUGGCACUGGUGCUUAUGAUACCACCACUGCUACAGUCACCACCACCCAGGCCUCCACGCCGCUCAGUCUGCAUAUGGCACUCAGCCUGCUUACCCAGCCUGUGGGCAGCAGCCAGCAGCCACUGCACCUACAAGACCAUAGGAUGGUAACAAGCCCAUUGAGACUAGUCAACCUCAAUCUAGCACAGGGGUUAACAACCAGCCCGGCCUAAGAUACGGACAGAGUAACUACAGUUAUCCCCAGGUGCCUGGGAGCUACCCAUGCAGCCAGUCACUGCACCUCCAUCCUACCCUCCUACCAGCUAUGAUCAGAGCAGUUACUCUCAGCAGAACACCUAUGGGCAACCGAGCAGCUAUGGACAGCAGAGUAGCUAUGGCCAACAAAGCAGCUAUGGGUAGCAGCCUCCCACUAGUAACCUACCCCAAACUGGAUCCUACAGCCAGUUUUUAAGUAAAACAGCUCAAUGA